rnacentral:lncRNA from 1 species
CGGGGAACUUCACAUGGUGAAGACCAAGGAAUUGCAUUGUGAAGUAAUCCAGGGGCUUCACUCCUUCUGUUCAGUGUCACUUUGCUCAAUAGUGAACCUAUGUGCAUUUUUUUAAAGGUUGCUGGGCAUGGUCUGUAAGAGGUGAGUGCGGGAGGUCUUGAGAUGGGAAGGGAUGAGAAGGGACAGAUGUGGGAUCAACAGCUGUGGUGUGCAGCAGUGCUCCUGCUGAGCUUUGUGGUGCAGAGGCUCUUACUCCUGAAUGCACAGCGUGUGCAGAGGUGCCAGGCUGUGUGUUGGCAGCUGUGCAGGUGCCAAACACCACAACCUGCAGGCACGCUCCAGGCUCAUCUCUCCCUGAACACUGCGAGGCUUUCCAGCACUGGGCUGUGCCUGCAGCCUCAGCCCACUGCCCUCUGAGCCCAAGUGCAGCUGCAGCACGCUCUGAACACAUCCAGACCGCUCGCUGCUCUGGGCACUGAAACCUGCAGUUGCUUUGGUUCAAUAGCAGUUGCUGUGUUACAGUAACACUUCACAGAUUAAAAAAAAAAAAAAGUUUUGGAAUUAUUUCAACCAAGCCGUAACCCAGCGCAGUUAAUGGGCCUUUCCCUGCUCGUGAUUAAUGCUGGCGCACGGCGGCGGUGCUCCUGCAGAACAGGUCUGGCGCUGGGCGCUGUGCAGGCAGGCUGUGCCCCGGCACGCAGUGUGCGGGGGGAGCGCUGCCCGGCUGUGCUGCCGGGGGGGGUCCGUGGGGCUGGGAGCGCUGCCUUCCACAGCCAGGGCCUGAACGCGGCCGCUGGGGAUUGUACCCUUCCUUCCACAGCUCUGUCCUGCAGUUGGGGUCAUUUCUACCCACUUAUGCAAAUAGCAAGUUAGAUAUAUAUAUAUAUAUUUUUAAUUAGCAUUGGAGGUAGGAGAGUGAGUGUUCUAAAUGGCAGAAUGGCAUUUAGUAUGCUUUAAAUGUGUGCGUUGGGGAGGGAAUACAGGUUGUGACAAACGUUCCUUAUGACUACGCUAGUAUUUCUUAGGCUGUUAGCUAUAUUUUCCCGAAUGCCGUUCUUUCCCCCCGGUGCAAACAGACUCAAAUAGAGCUGCACCAAAAUAACAGGAGUGCCCGCUGUUGAGCAAGCUUGCAUGUUUAAAAAGGUCCACGUUCUGAACUGAUCGAUUCAAACCUUCAGCGCCCCAGGCUGGAUGGACCCGGGGUGCAUCUCUGUGCAGUGACACUGCUGCAGCUACACGCAUGGUGAGUGGGGCAGAGCCUGCUGGUGCUCGGGGAAGUCGGAGCAGAAAAGUUCUUUCAUUGUUGUAAGAAAAUGGGAAUAAGGCUUUGUGGUGAAAUGUACGGCGUCAUAAUGCUUUUUCUUGUGACAGGCUCUGUCACAAGACUAUAGCUGCUAUUGAAAAAAAACAUUGACCAAAAGGAAAACUUCAGCUUUUAUAGACCCACUGAAUUUUUUUGAGGAGGGGUGUUCAUCUCAGCCUUUCCUUAGGAAGAAGUGGGAUUUUUCAAGUUCACUGUGAGAGUUCUCCUGUGCAGAAUGUGGGCAAAGCCCCCCAUGCCUCUGCUCCUUGGGGCCAAGCUGCUCUUCUGCAGGAGGCUUAGAGUAAGUGGUUGCAAGGAAGGCGUGAGCCUAACUCACACUGAUAGAUUUAAAACAACUUAACAGAGCUGCACACGGUCUGCAUGCAAACAAAGCAGCUGUUAAGCUGGAAAAGUCAUUGCACAAACAAGUAACUUGUAACUUAGUGGUUUUGUUUCAUGCAAGAAGGAAGUGGCAUUGGUGCUGUCAGGUGGAGAAGUGACCUACUGGAGAACCAGGAGUUCCUGGGUCUCUGUCACACAGUUCUACUUGCACUCAAGAGACUAAAGAAAUCAUUCUCCUGGAGGCAGCCCGUGUACAGCUAGGUUGGAAAAACAUCAUAGAGAGAUUUGGGGCCUUUCUUCGGGUUAUCGGGAGAGCAAUGCACACUGUGCUGUCAAACCAUCGGCAGGGCAACAAGGCCAUGUAGUUCCAACCCAGAGCAGAGGGAAGGGAUGGGGCUCCUGCCAGAGCUGGCACCCAUCUAAGAAAUGCAAUGCAGUCAGGUCAUCUUCAUAUACAUCUCCUUAUACAACCACCCUUGUACAAGGGUUGUCCCCCCCAGUCCCUCCAUCAUAACCUUUUAAUUGCAGUAUACAUUCAGGAAAGGAGUCUUACAUUUCUUUUGUGUGUGUGUGUUCGUGUGAAAUAGGGAAUUUAGCCCAAACUGUAAUUAGUUUCUGAUUCUCUUUUCACUGAAUAGAAACUUAAGUGGAGGACAAGAAUUUGCUGAAGGACAAGAAUGAGUUGAAGGAGGGAAGAUUAAGUUGGAUGUCAGGGGGAAGUUCUUUACCAAGAGAGUGGUGAGGUGCUGGAACAGGCUGCCCAGAGAGGCUGUGGAUGCCCCAUCCCUGGAAGUGUUCAAGGCCAGGCUGAACAGGGCCCUGGGCAGCCGGGUCUAGUAUUAGAUACGGAGGUUGGUGGCCCUGCCUGCGGCAGGGGGUUUGGAGCUUGAUGAUCCCUGAGGUCCCUUCCAACCCAAGCCAUUCUGUGAUUCUAUGAAUAGAAACUGCUGUGCUGAUUUCUCAGACAGCUGCUUGAGGUGGUCACCUCUGCAUCUGAGGGAAAGAGAAAAGGGACAGGAAAAAUAAGGCCAGCAGUGGAGGUAAAAUGUUUUUAUUAGUUUCUGAUAUUUCAGUCUCAUCUAAUUAAGCUGCAGCUAGAACCAAAAAAACAUAUCUUUGUAAAAAGACUACCAUAGUCCAAAACAAUCCAUAAAAAACUGCAUCUAGUUGCCUUCGUAUUAAAAAUUGAAAUUCAGAAAGAACUUUUAAAGGCUUUAUUUUCUAACAGCAUCUUCAUAGAGAUAAUAUCCAAGGUUUUUUUUCCUAAGUACAGGUACAAGGCAAACAAGCAUCCUACAAAAUAUGGGAAAAAGGUAGUGUAGGAGGGAAAUUAAGACAGUGUAAUAAUCCACUAGCCAGACACACAGGUUAAAUGUAACACAACCAUACCAUCAAUGAAAUACUUAAAAAUGAAAAUAAAUUAAGGGUACGCCAAAGUUCCUGCUUUACUUUUGCUGUUAAAAUCCUCAAUAUAUAGUACAUACCACUGCAUUAUGGAUCAUGGCAAAGACUUAUCACUAGCAUUUUAAAAACUGCUAUAGAAAAGCUUCUAUGGAAAUAAGCCUGCAGAUACUCCUUCACACAACUCUGUGAUGGCUAUAUAGAAAUUCUGCUGAUUCGGGUGUUCAAACGAGGGCCGUUAGUUUUAGAAUCACCGUGCAAUUCUGUACAAGCCUGGCUGCAAAUCUGAACGGCUGUGAGAAUGGAAAUGAACAGAAGUGAGCUGAGAUCCACACAUUCUUGCUGUUCAGAUGCUGCCCUACCCCUUCUGCUGCUCAGCCAAGCUGCGUAUUUUGUUCUCCGAUACCCGCACCCAGCAGGAAUGCAGUUUUGCAGAGCAGAGGUUGUUGGUAGCAUUAUUACAUUUUCUGGAAACCAAAAUCUUGUUCUCCUACCGCCCCACGGUCACUGUGCAAGCCAGGUUAACAUGAACACAGGCAUAAAAGGCCUUGUGCUGCUUUACCUGAUACUUGGUGCUUCAGACCGCCACGUGCCCUGUGGAAGCUAACUGCCUGUAAAGAUCACUACAGAAUGCUGCUGGUUUUCUGCAAAACAUCUUUAAGUACCCCAGUUUGCUAUUACUGUGCCCUGCUCGUUAACUGCAACCAGAUAGGAAAAACCUAAGUGGUGCUGUGCAGGAAUUGCUCUGUAGGUAGAAAAGCAGUUCACCAAACAGGACAACAAACUCUCUACGGCCUUUGCAGUUUGUAAUAUGUAAUGGAGAAAAGAAAGGGCUUAAACACACUAAAAAGUAUUUAAAGGAAUUCACCCAAUUAUGACUUUCUGAUACUACAGUGAAGCAUCCUGGUGAAUUUAUCCCGUUAUGCUAAAUGUAAGAAGGUGAGCGUACAUCUGUGAAAUGCUGCUUCCAUAACAGUAAGCUCCUUGCUGACUAAGGAUUUCGAUCUGCACUUAUUAGACAAAUCUUCUGGAGGAGAAAAAUAUUUAACGCCUUUAAAGAAAUACCCUAAGCAGUUUCUGGUUUAAUUGUAUCAAAUCUUCAGUGUUAAACCUAAAAAGAUCCGCACACAACGAUGGUUAAAAGAACCCCUCAUUUGCUCAGUUCCUGCAUGGGUGGUGCAGACAGGCUGCACCUCCAGAGUUCAUCCCGCCGGGCUGUGGCAGUGACUACUGCCCGCUGUUCUCUGCACUUGUUGUGGUGCUCUCAGUGCCAACAGGUUGCACAUUGUCUGCGAGACUGUGUGCGUGCUCAAGGAAUAGGUCUUUCAGUACGCUCAGCUCCUUGGUCAGGAGCUUAAUUUUCGCCUCUAAACGUUCAUUUUCUUCUUUGAGCUGGGUGACCCUUUGCAGCGUGUCUUGUGCUUUCUGCUUGCUUUUUAACCGGCUCUUUUUCACUGCCAUGUUGUUUCGCUCUCUGCGCUGACGAUACUCAUCGCUGUUUCUAUCCACAAAGGAAUUCUUCUUUCCCUGCUUGCUCGGAGGCACAGCUUUGCCUCCACCACCAGGACUAACGGGAACCAGCUGGGGAACCUGCUGCAAACCACUGCUGUGCGCCUGGGUGUGAAUCACGCUUACUCCGUUCGCAUCUGUAGCGGUGUUCUGCGGGGAUGUCUUGCUCAUUUGGACGGGCUCUUCUUUGACACAACAGAAUAUUAGAAGACUGAAAACUCUUUUCUAGAUCGUGUUUCCAGCAGGUCUUCACAUGGGUUAAGAGGCAAGGUGAACCCUGAAGGAAAAACAAAAGCUGUUAAAGGUGCUAUGUUCAGCUACAGUCUUACACAUCGCUGCCUUUGGCAUAAGGUACCGAUGGCACAUCUGGCAGCAACACACCAAAACUAUGCUGGAAGUGGAAAAGCUGCCAACUGCUGGGACAUUUCAGAAGCCUCUCGAACAUAUUUGGAUUGGAAGGGACUGUUACUGGGUCAUCUAGUCAAGCUGUUUGCAUUGUUCACUGGAUUUACUCAGUUAUUCCAAAGCCAUCCCUGAUGGAUGGGUGUCUAGCCUAGCCUUGAAAAAUCUCGUUUCACAACCUCUGUCUUGGCAACUAGUUCCACUGUCUAACUUUUCUCCCAGUUAUAUAAUUUUCUUAAUUUUUUAGACUGAAUUCUUUCUUCUGCAGCUUAAACCCAUUAACAGCCUGACUCUUGACCAACAGGAGUGCUUGAUCCUUGUCCUCUCCGGACCACCCUUCUGGGUGUCUGCACAUUCCUUGGUGGUCUCUGCUUUUCUCUAGAGACAGUCCACCUUCCCUUGAACAUCUCACAACAUCUUCCAGUGCUUUCACCAGCUCUAAGAUUGUUUUACUUGUUUUUGAAGAUGGAGCCCAAACUGAUGGUUGUUUUAAGGUCUCAGCAGUACUCAGUGCAAAACCAUACAAGAAGAGGUAGUGAGUGCUGUGAAGGCUGUGACUGAAUGACACAAAAGGAAACCCUCAGCCACAAACAAGGUAAGACCAGCCAAGCCUUUAACACUGCUGUGAGGGCAGGUGGGACUGCAAAGUAGGGUGAGAGCAACGUGAGAAACACUGCACUUGAAAGACAGGGGACCUACAAGGAGACAUGGGCCACAGCUGACCUGCCCACAACACUUCCCUCCGCUGUGGCUCACAGCAGUCAGUGUCCGUGCUCCUCCCCAGCAGGCUGCAGGCAGACAGCCUGAGGCACGGGCACCCCUGGGGCUCAGCCUGCUCCCAACCCUGCUGGUGGUACAAGACUCUGCUGCCGCACCUCCUCGCCUGUCCCCAGGACCCACUGGGGAAGAUCAGCUGAGGUCAGCAGAGCACAAGGCGAGCCAUGCAGUGCCCAGCCCAGCCUUAUAUCUGACAGCACAGGAGGCUGAAGUCCUGUGUGGCAGUGCUCAGCCCGUAUUCAGGGGCUCCUGAGCUGCAUGCUGCUCCUGUAUAUGUUUUCCACCACAGCCUGAGUGCCAUUUGACAUUCUGCUGGGUUAUCAUUAAUGAGAUUAAAAUGUUACUGUCAACUGCACGUUUUCUUUCGUAAUCUGAGGGAGCCUGAACAAGGUGCAGCUGCACAGUGUGGCUCAGUAACAUUUGCAGCAUAGCCCAGCAGUUUGCCUUCAUUGUUAUUCAAAAUUAACAUUCUGUCACCAAGAACUCUUCUCCCUUAAAGCAAGUGAAAAAGGUUUGUGAGUCGCGUGAGUAUAACCACACCCCUCGAGAAGUUUUCAUAUUUCAUGUUUUCACUUUCAUAUUUCAGGACAGAGGGAUGUCAGGGCAGACAUCGGGCAGCUCGGCCUCCAGUCCCCUCCAUUUCAGCAUGGCAGGGCUCUCCUGGGCAGCCCAGCUAGGAGAAAUGCCACGUCUACCAGCUGUGUUGUGUCCGCUGCAGAGGAACAGGCAGCGCUGCCCUGAAAGCAUCACACCCCACCAACAUCUGACAAGCUCCUUCACAGCACCAGGUUCCACUUGCUAUUCUCUCUACGCUAUCAGAACUAUUUAAUAUUGCUCUAACAUAUGCAUAAGAUCGCUAUCUGAUGCCCCUGCAAUUCGAAGGAAAAAAUGAUGUGUUCCAUUAACUUGAAAUGUAAUGGGAUAGUUAAGUUCUCAGUGGAGGAGAACGUGGGUUGAGCAGAGAGACAGAACCCAAGUGUCACAUCUCCCAGGCUGCUGUUAGUCCUGAUGCACAGAGCGCUUCACAACAGGUCUCCCCCAGUUCCUGACCCCUGGAGCUGCCCCAUGCUGUGUCAACUAUUUCUUCAGUGGGGCACGCUCUCAUCUGGCACUCACAUGGGAAAUGUGACACACGGCUCCUGUCCUGCUCCAAUACUGGGUACUGCAGGGCUCCUUCAGCGGCUGCCACCAGGAGGUUUGACUGUAUGGGUUAUGCAGAAGGGGCCGUGGCAAAGCACCGCGCACCUGGGGAAGGCCGUGAGCAGAUGGCUGCCGGGGCUCACUGCUCAGGUGCGUGCCACACUGACACGUUAGCUGUGGGAGGGUGACAGCAUGACACGACAGGCAGCAGCUCCCUGGCAUCCCGUUCCCACGCAGCUCCCAGCUGGCACGGGGCAGCCCCGGGCUGGUUCCGCCCAGCACUGCCGCUGCUGCUCCAGCGGCCGGAGCUGCCCGGUUCCAUCGCGGCCGCCGGCUGCCACCCACCACCACCCAGCGCACACAAUAGCGGCAGCCCGGGGCUCCGCUGGCCGCAGCUCCUUGGGGAUGCGGAGUCCCAGGCACGCCAGGCCCUUUAUUAGCUUUGCUUUCUCCCCAGAAUUUGAAACUUCUAAACGUUUGCCUCGGCAAAAAGAAAAAAAAAAAGUUUUAAUUUGUUAAUUAAAUCAGUUUGGUUGGUUCGCUGCUCCACAGCUUGCUGUAGGCUGCGCGGCUGCUCUGCCCCUACUGCCACAGCCGGCAGCGGGACGCCGCUCGCCUCGGAGCGCCCGCAUCCCCGCGCACGUUCCCGGCGGAACGCGGCCCGACAGCGCCAGCGGCGCGGACGCUCAGCACAGCUGUUCAACAACUGAACCGCGCCGCCGCGAACCCCGGCCAGCGCCGUCGGGACGCGGAGCUGCAGCGGCCGCUUCUAAAGGUGAACCGACUCCUUAACUCCGAACUUUCCGGAUCUCGACGCGUUCGGCGCUCGGCCCCGGGGCGCCGUGACGGCCGCUCUCCGUCGGGGCAGCGCAGCUCCCGGCGCAGCGGCCCGGGGCCGCCCCUCCGCGCUGACAUCAGCGCCGCCGCCGCCCCGCCCGCCCGCUCCCCCCACGCCCCCCCCCCGCCCCUCCCGCCUGGGCGCCCGCUGCCCCGGGGCGGCUCCCGGCCCUCCCCCGCGGCCCCGCGGGGCUCGCAGCCCGGGGGCCGCCCGGCCGCGCUCCUCCCCCGCCCGCGCGGGGCGCACGGCCGCGCCAAGCCGUGACUUCACCGGGGGGGAGGAGAGGCGCGGGCCGGGGCCGCCCGCCGAUUGCAUCAUGCGCUCCCACGCGCGGGGCCGCCGCGCCACCGGCGGACGGACGCGCGGCGGGGGCGGCCCCUACGGCCCGGCGCGGCGCCCCCCGCGCGGCGGCGCUUACCUGUGGCGGCGCGGGCGGCGGCGGAGGGGAGGGGCGCGGCCGGGCCCGAGCCUCCUCGUUCACGCGCGGAGCGCGGCCGAGCGGCGAUUGCGAAACCCGCCCCGCGCCGCCCCGCCCCGCACGCCAAUCGCCGCCCGCCCUCCCGCCGGGGUGAUGCAACGCCCGCCCUGAUUGGCAGUCCCCGCGGCCAAUCGCGCGGCCUCGCGCUUAAAGGGCGCGGCCGUGUUUGUGUGGGGACUUUGCGGGGCCCUCGGCGGCCGGGGUGAUGCCUCGGGGCGGAGGAGGCUGUGCGCAGCCCCGCCCCGCCGCUGGGGGGCGCUCGAGCGGCCCGGCCCGGGGCGCCAUCUUCUCGCCUCGGGCGUGAGGCGGUGGCCGAGGCCUCUGGGGCGUGUGGCACUGCCUUCCUGCGUCCGAGGGGACGGAGCUGAAAGUACGGCAGACCCCCUGGAUGUCUGAGAUGACGGGUUACGUUUCUUUGCAAAUAUCGCAAAAAGAUGAAAGCUUAUGAGCAGGCUUUUGGUGCUUUCCAGCCGCCCCGGCUCACACCCCCGAGCUCUGACCAGGCACGUGCCGUGAUGUAACGUCCCCAUCUCUGAAGCUCCGCGUGCGUAACGCCCUCAGCAGCUUUGUAAUGAAUGCCCUGUGGAAAAUGAGCCCCAUUUGCAGAAGAAUUCUGGGGUUGAAACGAUUCUGUUUUCUCUGGCAACGAUUCAUCCGUCUGUAACUACAGCAAAAGUUCCAGGUAAGCGCUAAGCAUUAUCCUGUCCUUAAGCGGUUCCCUGUGUGCUCUUAGAGUGCUCCCGUGGGGUUUAAAGUACUGUAUCACCAUUCAUUCAUUCUUCUUCUUCAAAGGAAGAUGAAGAAAAUAAAAUACAGAUGAACUCAUUCUCAUGUAGCCUGCUUGUUCUAAACGUUAAAGCCCAUGCGUAGUUCUCUGCUCAAUGGGAGCUCCAUUGCUAGGCUGGCAUCAUGUCUUGUGCAGGAAAACUGUCCCACAGUGUGCUUUAAGUCUUUGCAGGAUAAAUCCCCCUGGUGCAAAUGGGAUGUGAGGAAAGGUAAUCACAAAAACAUAAGGAGUGCUGCUGGAAAGGCGGGGCACUGAAAUACACACCUGAUCUGCUGGCUGUCACAUUGGGUUACAUGAGCUGUGCGUUGGCUCUGGAGCUCAGUGUCAGGAGCAGGGCUGUGUUCCUGUAGCAACAGUCCACCUAUAAGGCUGUCUAAUUUUGUGAUGGUGGUAAUGCUUAGCACAUGCAUAGCCCAGUCUUGUGAAAGACUAGUCCCUGAAAAACAACAACACCAACAGCAAAACCACAAGUUUUCAGCAUCUUCAAGUAGUACACAGUAAAUCACGGCUCAAGGCAGAAGGACUGCUGAAGAAACAGCUCUUUGUGGGAACUGGAGGCAAAGAUGUAGGGGGCAAAGGAACCUGUUGGGGUAAAUGUUCCCAUUUGGUGCUUGGUCAGUAUGUUCACUUAAUGCUUACCAAAAAAGUUUUCUGCAGCCUUAUGCUCAGAGUGUGAAAACUGCUCUAUUUCUCCAUCUUGUUUAUUGUCCUAUUCCAUUGUUUAUGGUUGUUACCUCUGUGUUCAUGGACGGUUAUUUCUUUGUCCUAAAAUAAAAAUCAUAUACUGGACUACAACCUGUAUUUCUUUUUUCUCCUGUAAGCAUUCAGUUACCUGCCUUCCCUUCCCUCAUGGAUAGCCUUCACUGGACUUUUUACUUCAAAUUUGCACAUUUCUGUUAAACAUUUACCUUUCACGUGUGGUUUAACUGUGUAGUUUUUACCUCUAUCAUGUGUUUAGAAUUCUUACAGGUGAGAAUUCACUUUCUUGAGUUUUAAAAGAGAGGAAAUUGUAUAUACUUUUAAAAUCUAUGUGCAUAUAGAUUGGUCCCUUGGACUAUUUGUAAAUUGAGUCUGUGGGCAGGUGCACUAAAUGGUAUUGGAACUUUCUGUCCUGUCUGUACGGAUCAUCCAGAAGCUGAAGAGCUGCAGAUCUGUAGUCCAUCCCUGCCAGCCACUUAGUGUUCUGGUUUAAUCACUCAAACAGUGCUAAGUCAUGACAGAAGAGUGACCAAACAGUUAAAAAGCAGCAGUAGCAGUCUCUUGCCGCCUGUUUUGACAUAAAAAAAUAAAAAAAAAAAAAAGAAGUUUCUAACCUUGUCAUUGUCAGUCUUCUGAGAAGUUCUUUUCUUGCUGACUGCUACUCCCGUUCUUGCAACCUAGAGUUGUUUGGGACUGGACAGAAAGACUCUGUGGAAUAUGAUUGUAUUCUUUAUGAUCGUGAAGCAGUUGGCAUUCUUUUGGGAAUAUCCCAGUAAUACAAAGUCUGUAGUAGGAGUUUUUCCUAUUAUUUUUAUUAUUUCUUAAUAGCUCUUGCAGUUUCAUGUUACAAUGUUUGUUUUUUGCCUUCGGGACUGGCCUCCACCAAGAUCAAAAUGCUACUGUUAGAAAUGUCUCCCAAUCCAAUUUGAUAAUUUAAAUAUGGUAGAAACUUGACUAUUAAUAGUUGAUUUGUCAGAGGUAGCCUUUUUGCAUAGGUGAAGGGAAAGGAGAGGAAGCUUUGCUUAGUAGUGGUGAUCACUAUUUCAGGACUGCACUGCUAAUUCUAGCACUGACUCACUGUAGCCUUGGAAAGUUACAGUGCUUUUGUUCUAGAAAAUACUAAGUAAAGAAAGCAGCCAUUCUGUUCUAAUAGCAAGCAUCCAUUUUAUUGUGACACUGCCUGGAGAGGAAGAAUCCAAUGCUUUUGUUCUUUCUCUCUAUGCUGCUAAUAAUUCUUACAAGAAAGUAUUUCCAGUUGCUAGUUCAGCAUCUUCCAACACUGCUUCCUCUACGUCUGGUUAUCAAAAUACCAAGAAUGCGAUGGCUGUUUUUAGGCUGCCACUAAACAAUAUUGUUUUUUACUUUCAUGUAUAUGCAAAGUGUUAGAAAAGGCAAAGCUAUAUAGCUAAAGGUGAGUAAAAACAAAGUCAAUAAAUAGACUGAAAGGAAAAUGCUAUAUAUCAUGUGUAUGUGUAUAUAUAAAAUCUGGUUCCAAAGAGGCUUGUUAGAACUAAACAAGUCUGAGCGAGAAUUAAUGGCCCACACCUGGGAAAAAGAGGUGAAUGCUCAAGCAUCCAGGUUUAGUAACUGCCACACCUGUCCUAUACUCCCAAAAGCAUAAAUGAGUUCUGUAAGGAUUUAGAUAGCUUAGCUUUUGAACGCACAGUGCCAUGGCUCUUUUCCAAGGCAUCAUCAGUCACCACUUGAAAAUCCCCACCCUUAAUUAUCAGGGCAUUAUUUGUCAUGGGGUAUGCUCUAAAGAACUUCACUUCAUUUGUAUGAUAUCAGGAAGAGUAAAUAGUUUUGGGAAUGACUUCUACCCUGACUUUAAAAUGGUUCUUUGCAACAGAACCAUAAAACACCCUUCCAGAAAAAUCACUGAAAUGAGAGAGUGUCAUCUUCAGUCCCAUGGUAUUGGGUGAAGGAGGACCAAACUUCUUUCUCAUCCAUGGUUUUAUUAUUCCCUGCAACUUACAUGAUCUCUGAAGUGCCAUAAAUAGCAUGAUGAGCAGCUGCCUGAAAAGAAAGAAGAGACUGAGAGUUUGGCACCUGGACGGGGGAGAAGGGGUAUGGUCCACCUGAUUGUUCACCCUGUGUCACUUUGUUCAUUCAAGUGAAUAGAAAGCUACUUAUCCAUGCCUGUACGAGAGAAACUAUGCAGGAGAAAAAAUGGAGAAAGUAUGCUGGCAAGUGCAGAAUGUCUGUCAUUGAGCUGCUGCUACUAAUACCUAGAAUUAUGUGCUAGAUUGUCAGUGACAGUGGUAUUUUUGUCAGGCAGGUACAGCGUAUCUCACAUCCCCAGGAGAAAAUAAAGGAAGUAUGCAGUGUCAUCAUCCUUCCAGAAAGUCACUUCUCCCAUUCUGGUGAGUUAGCUGGCAGAAAGGCCUUUUCUUUUCCUGUAUCUUAAAAUGGAAGCAAGUUCAACAGAAACAGUGGGGCACAGCUCCCUGCUCUUUGGCUGUGCAUACUCUCUAACAAACCAUAGACUCUUAGAGGACCAAAGCAAUUACAUUUACACACACAGGCACCUGGAUAUCUCUGUCACUGAAUUUACCAGAAACAAUACAGCAUUAGGUUUCUAUUGAAUAUGAACACUGCAGCCAAAAUUGUAGAAAAAUACCUCUUAGGUAUUAGGUAAUGUGUCCCAGGACAACAGUGUCAUUGAAGGACUCAUCUGAUUUCUCUCCUCUUGACUGUAAGUAGAUCACAUUUCCUUCUGAUAGGCAGGAGAAGUUUUACAUCCCUUCGUCACUAGCCUGUCCAUCGAGGUCUGCUUUCUGUACCUCAUCAACCAUAAAAACUAACUCAGCAAAUCUUUGUAUAGGAAAUUGUUCCUGAUGUGAUCUGUUUCAACAUCAUGUGGGGUUUUGCUACGUGAUUUUCUUGGUCAGAAGGACUUGCACAGUUAAGAUCCUAAUGGAAAUUAUUGGGAAUCUUGCAUGAGGGAAGAAUUUAGGAUCAACAAUAUUGCAAUGAUGGUGAUUCAUAGGGGAAUAUCCUAUGUGUGAAAAAAGUAGCAUGCAAAGAGUAGUAGAUGGAAACACAAAACACUUCAAAAUACAUUGAACCAUAUCUUGCAGAUGUCCAUGUGCAUGAGCAUUGGCAGUUGACACUUAAAUGCCAAUAGUCACUUGGCAGAGAGUGAAAUUUACACUCUUGAAGGGUCCCUGAAGACCAUUUCCAAACAUGCCCAGUUAUUUGCUGAAUGGAUGCUUCGCAAGGUGGACUUUACCAAAGUGUGCACAGUCACAGAAUCACAGAAUAGUAGGGGCUGGAUGGGACCUCUAGAGAUCAUCAAGUCCAACCCCCUGCAAAGCAGGCACCCUACAGCAGGCUGCACAGGUAGGCGUCCAAGCGGGUCUUGAAUAUCUGUAAAGAAGACUCCACAACCCCUCUGGGCAGUCCAUUCCAGUGCUCUGUCACCCUGACCAUGAAGAAGGUCACAGAAAUCUUUAUAGCUCAGCAGUGAAUGUGGUAACAGUCAUAAUCAUUUGCCUAGGCUUUUGAGGCCCUCCUUCAGAGUGUACAGGCAUUACUUUGAAGUCAUAUACAGUUCCAAUGGAAAUGUGAUUUGGCAGUUGGAGAAAAGGACUUUGCUUACCAGGAAAUGAAAUUGUAAAGUGCAUUGUUUAUUGUACUUCUACCUUACAUCAUCUUUUUCCUCUUGUUAAAAGCCCUUUGACAUUAGGAGACUCUGCAGGUGGGACAGUGCUAAGGAUUGCAAAGCACAUGCUCGUGCUUUCCUUCCUUUAAAAAAGGUGAAGACAGGAUGAGAACACGUGUACUCCUAGCAGGAGCAUGAGCAUGGGCAGCCAGUCCAAGAGAGCUCCAGGCAGAAGAGACUGCCCUGCUUUCAACAAGUGGGCUGUGCUGUGCUGGUGCUGUAAAUAACAGGAAAGCCUUGGGCACAAAUUUCAAUGCUUGGAGCACAGCAGGCUUAUAACAAAAUAUUUAAUUUGCCUAAACACUGUCCUGAUGUGGGGACAUUUAUCAGUCAGUACUUUCUGGCAUCAACAGAGAAUACUGCAGCACACUGUGAAGCAGUCUUUAUGUCUCUGGAUUUCAUCUUGUGAAGGGGCACCAGCUAUGGCUGUAAGUUGAAUGGGGAGUUACAGGCAGCUCUCAGAUACUUCACGUUAUAGCAGCAUUGGUAGCUGAGCUGGGGGAAAGCUAUGAAGUCUGCAAGCUUUUAUUUAGUAUUUGAGUGCUUUUGGAAAGAUUUCUAGCAGGAUUUUCAGUGGGCUUAAAUUUGAUAUGUGCCACAUAUUCUGCCACUCCAUCACCAGAUGGAUUUCUUGGCCUUGACCAAAAUAUGUAGAUCCAAGGAUUUACAAGUGUUCCAGUCCUACAAGGGAGACUGAAUAGCUCUGAGCCCAGUGAGAAAAAGAGGCCAAGGGGCACUGGGGCAAAGUCUGGUUUCCUGAAGACUGAGUUUUCAAUUGAUGUGUCAGGAGAUCAGAGCUCCACCUCAAGCAUUUCCCACCAUUUGCAGAGUUAGCUUUUCUCACAGAAUAGGCACCUGUAUUUGUCUUUCAUGAAAUGCAGGCACAGUGGAAUCAGCCUGCAGCUCUGUGCAAGGGGCAGUUCUGGUGAGGAGACCUAUGGCAUUCUUUACUUAAAUAAAUGCAAACAAGUGCCUCAAACUUUGAUCAGUGACAUGCUGAGCUGGGUAGCCAACAUUUAUUUCAGUUUAUUAAUAAAGGAGAAAACUCAUUCCACGUGGUGAGGGGUCUGGAGACACUGCUGAAGAUGCACACGAUAUCUCAUGAUGACUUAAGUUGAACAUAAAUGAUUCAUAAGGCUGACAGGGCUCUGCAGACAUUGCAAAUGGGCAGAAACACAGUUCUGUACAAUGAAAUCCGGUACUGUAGCACCCAACACACUUGGCCAUGUUGCAGGAAUUCUUUUUAGAACAACACAGUUCAUAUGAUAAAUAAUUUGGAAUUCUUACCUGCUUUUAGAGAAUAUAGGACUUCUCUAAAGUUGAAUUAUAAGGAAUGUACAAUUUAUUCUAAUAGUUAUAUAUAUAGUUUGCAACAAAUUAUCAUCUAGCUUAAUUGUUUAGGCCUGAAAGAAGUAUUUAGAGUGAAUAAUUUGAAUUCCAAACACUUUUGCCCAUUUUCUAUAUUUAAUGACAGCAGUAGGAGGGAAAAAAGUCAUACAUUUUUUGUAAUACGGGGACCUGGUUGGAAAACUGUUUCCUUUUCACUUAAACACAAAUAGUUUGUAAGGUCUUUUUGUCUGGAAUUAGGUACCUCUCAACCCUGGCCUCUUGCUAAAUUAAUGGUUUUGAUUAUACUUAGCUCCACAAUUAAGUGUAUGAAUCAGUUGCACACGUAAGACACGUGGCAUUGUUGGUGCUCCUAGUUGAAGAGUAGUGCCUUUUCAGCAUUGUUUUACGGGCACUGAGAUAUGGAAGCUUCUUGCUAACAGCACCAUCACUAUUUCUGAAAUAUUUUUACUCACAAUAAAAACCAUUUUUAUGCUUCCGUAAAAUGAAUGAAAAGCACGAUGGCUUCCAUCAGAAAUCCUCUGGCUUUAUUCAUAUGAAUGUUGUUAAUGUUUAUUUAAUAGUUAUUGGAAGCACUCGGUAGCCCGGCUGCUAAUCGUAAGGAAUUGUUUGUUCAAAGCGUUUUGAGGCAGCCGGUCUUGUUUUCCUUAAAAUGCCCUUGCUGCCUCCCGAGUUCAGUUUCCAGAUCUUUAUGGGUCUGUGACCCACUCAGGAGCAACGUACUGAUCUUGGGACUGACCUGGCUUGUGAUUAACUCUUAUUGCUCUUAAGAUAAAGACGUGUUUUGCAUAAAGCAUAAGAUUCCCGUUUGGACAGAAAAUGUCAAUGUAAGGGUCUUGUGGGAUUCGUGCAGUUGCAAGUAGUGUCUCAUUUUUAUUAAAGGGAUUGCUCUGGUGAACGUGACUGUGUGUAACCUAUCUUUCUGCAUAGGCUUGGAAGGCAGAGUAGCUGUUAUCUCAGCAGGUAGGAGUGCCAGCUCCUUUCACUGGAUGCUUCAAGUGACCUUUGGAAUCCCCGCAGGGAAUGAAGGGCCGUAUCUCACAUUGCCUUGCUGGCUGCCCCACCAGCAUGCUGCAUGGGCAGUAUUGAGGUGAAAUCACUUUGUAGCAGGCUCUGCAUGCCACACAUGGGAACUUGAGCACCGUAUUUCAGCCUGUAAGUGAAAGCUGCCUCUUCAGUCACAUCUUUGUGCAACAAGUCAAAGAAGUUCUGAUGCCUGAAGUAUCUCUGUUAUUAGUUUGGAACUGAUAACAGAACUGCAGUAAUUGUCAAGCUGAGAUUGCCUCUGCUUGCUUCCUUCCUCCGUGCCUGUUGUCUCCUGUGCUUGGUGUUUCUUUGAUCAUGGUUAGGACUCAUUUGUGAUGUCACCAAGUCACUCUUCGAACUUUGUGAAGCUUCCUUGUGAGUCCCUCCCCUCUCAGUGCCUUUGACAUUUUUCAUUUAGUAGGGCAGCUCCUGCUUAGAUUAGUCAUGCUUAGAUUACUCAUUAAUCCCUGGGCUGCAGCAGUAUAAUUGGAGAAGGCUGAGUGUAGCUCAACAGGGAGGUCAGACUUUCAGAUAGCAUCCACGCUGAGCAGUAAAGCUGCUUUCUGCUAGUAUGGUCUCAAUGCUUUUUUAAACAUCACAUUUUAAAAUCUGAGUUAAAUGUGGCUCCAAUCCUUUCUACCACUGAAGUCAAAGCUUCAUGAUAUUAAUAGUAGAAGGGUGUAUGCACCAAAGGUGUAUGUUAUAUCCAGUCCUUGUGCUGCUCUCAUCCAGCUGAGGUCUGCCCCUGUCAGCAGUGUGUCUGCCCAUGGCAGGACAACAUGAGUCUUUCCUUCCAUACUACACUAUAGAAUUUAACUUUGUGCCGAUUGGCUCCUCCAGUUUCAUUUAUAUUCCUGUAACAAUGUCACUUAGAAGGGAACAAAGUUGAUGUAAAGAAUGAGAACACAGACAAGUCAGUGUGUGUCAGGGAUUCCAUUCUGUAACAAUGUCUCACAUCCUAAAGUACAUAAUUAAGAAGUGGCAUAACUUUUUUUGAGUCUAAGUUCUGUACGUGGCUCAUGCAGGUGCUUAACAUCUAAGUUAAAUGCCUGAAGUUGGUGUCCUGUGUACAGACAGAGGUAGGGAGCUGGGGUCUGUUUGUCUGGGUUUGUCAGGAGUUUAAAUCACCUUUUUUUUUUAUUGUUAUGUGAUGCCACGAAAAGUGAUCAGCCAUAUGCUAACAGUUAAAAUCUUCAGAGAGUUUCUGAGAACUUUCUGUCCCUUAAAGCAGAGCUGGGAUCUGAGUUUGGAUGAUGGUGUUCACUGCCCCGUUACUGUUCUGCUGCAGCAUGUGUCUGUUAGCUCAGGUCCGUGCCAGUUCUGACUCAGGGCCAUGAGCCUUCCAUUCAGCACACAGGAGCUAGGAAAGAUAUGAGCCAUAUUUCCUAUAUGCUCCAUUAAGCAUACAGUAGCAAAAAUAAGAAAGAAAAGAGUGACAUUUUCGUGGCAAUUUACUUCAACGUAAAAGUUAGUGUUUACAUUAUAGAAAAAAAAAAAAGAAGUAGUAAAAAUAGCAGAAAAUAUGUGAAAAAUAAAGCAUUUCAUUUGAGGAAAGCAGUGGUCAAAUUUUUGCAUGCUGACUGUUUGUGAUGUUAGCACAGCAUUGCGGGAGAAGAUAGGCUGAGUUGGCUACUCGUUUCUUGUGUGGCCUUGGCAGAUCAUCCCCUCUCCAAGCUCUGUAGCUGUGAAAUAGAGCAACAGCACUGCUCCACCUCCCAGGGAGAUGUAACCAUGAAGGAAUGAAGGAUCCUGAGCGAUCGAUGACAGAAACCACUGACGUUUGUGAGGUAGACAAAAGAUUGGAAAGUUAAAUUGAGGAGGGAAAGGAAGGAAGGAUGUUGUUUAGUCUGAGGUAGAAGAGUAGUGAGAGAAUGGGCAACUUAUGGGUAGGCCAAGUAGUGAGUAAUGUGGUAAGUGAUGGUAUCAGUAAGAGAACUGUAAACGUGAUGUGGUGAAUUCUUGAGAUAAAGGUGAUGCUGUGGUAAUGCAGAAGAGACCACUGCAGUGAGAUGGGGUGAGGUACUGUCACAUCCACCUUUUUUGUGUCUGUGGCAUUUCAGCUGUAUUCUGGAGGGGACAGAACGAAAUGUGGUAUCUGAAAAGCCUUCUGAAUAUUCUUGGGCACCACAGAUACGGUCACUGAAAUACAAUCCUAACUGUAAAAGAGAAACUAAUCAUUUAAUGGCUCACUAACUGGGUAAAAAACCUGAGCAGGUUUCACAGCCUGGCUGUACGUGGUUACAGGUGACAAGCAGGAAAGGGCAGGCUAUGAGCCACGUGUGGAUGGAAGCAGGCAGUGGGCUGCUGAUCGAGUGAAGAGAUGCUCCCAGGCAGCUAGCAUGGUAAUUGCAAUGGCGCUGAGCUCUUGGGAGAGGAGCCAGAAGUUAGCUGAGCACAAGGACAGCAAGGGUCGAAGGCAUGGUCACAGAGACUGUGAGGAUAUGGUACGGACAGGGAAACGAUAUGGAAAGGGAACUGGAAGGUGAGCGUGGAUUUGAUUUUAUUCACGUUGGAGUUGCAAGUGCUCUUCCUCCAAAGAAGAAGAGCUAGAGUGAUAAGUAAUUGAACCACCUGGCAUCGAACCAAACUGCACAUAAAAUGGUCAUCAGUCCCCAGCUGUUCCCAGGUGAAAGGAAGGCCCCGGCUGACUUGUACUGUGCUGCACACUGCUCUACUGGCCUGCAAGGCUUUGGCAUGUACAGCCUUCUCCUUUGAAAACUGUCAUGUGUGGCAGCCUUUCCACGUGCAGAUCAUGUCUCCCCUCUCUGGGGCAGAAAACAGAGAAGAAGGGUGAAGUUUGUGCUUCAUUGCACCACGAGAAGUAAAGGCAGCACAUUGGCAGCUCCUCAUCGCAUACAAAACUGCUGCCCAUCUCUGCCUGCUCCCCCGGUGCACCCAUGGCACAGCACUGUCCCCAGCUGAGGACUGUGCCCCCAUCCCUGCCCUGCUGCCCCCAGUGCACACCCUGGCCCUGUUAGAUCUGCUUUCUUUCCUGCACCCAUCCUGCAGGUGGGACAGAGGACGGGCUGGCACUGGUGCCAGGAGGAGAUUUGCAUGCAGUCAGGACAUUCGGGAGCUUUGUCAGUAGCAGUGACAUGUUCUCAGUUAACAAGGAAGCAAAAUAAACUUGCAGAGACACUUUGGUUCUCAACUGGGCUGCCACAUGCCAGCUUCUGUGCGCAGUUCCGUGCUGAUAGAUCAGAGCAGAGGCUGUGCCUGCACCCUGCAGCAGGUAGCCCGCUUUGCACCCUGCAGACAGUGCAGGGGCUGAGGUCAGGAAACAUUCAGAGCACCCACUUUUGUGGUGCAAUUUACAGUCCCAAAAUUCACUUCAGAGUUCCGGAAGGAUAUUUAAUUCCUCCAUCGCUGUGAUUUUCUCUUGUUUCCUUCCCAACCAACAGAAACCAGUAGGGCCAACUUUGCGCGCUGGCUCUCAGCGCUGUUCAGGGUUUUGGAGUGCUUUCCCAGCCCUCCCUGGUGCGAUCUGCUGUGCGAUGGAAGAAUAGCACCCUCAAGAGUUGACGGCCGCGCUGCUCCGGGGCUCCACAGCACUCGGCAGGAACCCUUCCUCCUCCUGUUAAAAAACACCCCGGCACACGCAGCCGAGGCAACGAGACAUAAACGUUUCUUUUGCCAUCACAUGUGGAAUGUUUGGCAUCGGUCGGUGUGGGUGUGGAAAUCUGUGCCUGUCCGAGGGAUGGCAGCUGCUGAGCGUGGCAUUUGCCUUCGGAGAAGAGGCAUUCAGAAAAGAAUUGUCCUAUUUAUUUAAGUCUGGGAAACUUGUUUCAUACCAUCCUAAAAGAAUUUGAACAGGAAUCAAUAGUUUUUGUGCAGAAAGAGAUUAUUUUAAAGUACUUCACUGAGAUAAAAGGGGUCUAUGUAAAAAAUACUGAGCAAACCAGUCCUUAAAUUGCGGGGACUUGUUCGUUAAUUACAGUAAUUAGGAAUGGAAUCCGAUCCUAAACUUUCCGAUUUGCUUUGCAUUUCUCUUCAUGUGUGGUUAGACCUUAAUUUUCAGAACGAUUCUAAAACGUGAGACUACAGAGGCGUCAGUAUUGUUGGUGAGUGACGAGCAGUUCUGUGCUCCUGCUGCUGCCCGCAGCGCAGACCUUUUGCUGUGGGUGUGCAUGGCCGGUUCCUGCCCGCUGCCUUCAGAGCGCCGUGCGGCCACGGGAUGCUCGGGCAUGGCCAGUGCUGGCUGUUGGGCCAGCUGGGUCUUACAGCAUCAGCAAGUCUGGGUCAGCACCUGCCCCUCCUCUGCAAAUGGGUUUGCUGGGGCAGAGCCUGCAGGAUCCGCACAGCCAGAUGUGGCAGGGCUGCGCAGAGAUGUUGUGGGGGCUUCUUCUAUGGAGAUAUUUGAGACCCGUAUGGACGCCUACCUGUGUGACCUGCUGUACGGAACCUGUGGAGCAGGGGGUUGGACUCCAUGAUCUCUUCAGGUCCCUCCCAACCCCUGCAGCUCUGUGAUUCUGUGAUUUCUGCCCAGGCUGAAGCAUCCCAGAU